GUCUACAGUCACACCACGCUGAACAAGCCCGAUCCCGUCUGAUCUCGGAAGCUAAGCAGGGUCGAGCCUGGUUAGUACUUGGAUGGGAGACCACCUAGGAAGACCAGGUGCUGUAGGCA
rnacentral:rRNA from 1 species